UAGCAAGUAUUUGGCCUUUCCGCAGCCUUAUACCGAAGAACCGUCGAUCCACCAUUCCUUUGAUCGAUCAUUCGAUUCGAAGCCUAUCUGUUUCACCAACCUUCGAGUGCAAUCCUUGGGAGAUUUUCAUCAGGAUAUAUCGUAGAUUAGUUCUUUAAUAGUGCUGUUCGUUUCAUCGAUGCAGGUACGGCGUCUGCAUCUGCGUCAAUGUUUUUCACUUAAAAUUUGUUCGUUUCAUCGACGCAGGUACCUGCGUCUGCGGCCGAACGCAACGUCCAGCAUCAGACGCCAAAAAAAUCAGCGGCCACGACUUAAAUUCCGCGUCUACUUAACCUAUUUACUGUUUUUCUCUUAACCUAAUUCACUAAUUACCAAAAAUACUACGCAGACGCAGCUUUCUGAGUCUUCUCUUCUCCAGCUCUCUCUCUCGAAUCUCGAUCUCGAACCCAGCCAAACCAAACUCAAUCUCUCGAUCUCAAACCCAGCUCUAUCUCAAACCCAGCUCUAUCUCGAACUCGAACCCAACUCUAUCUCGAACUCGAACCCAACUCUAUCUCGAACUCGAACCCAGCUCUCUCUCUCGAACCCAACUCUCUCUUAAACCCAUCUCUCUCUCGAACCCAGCUCUCGAUCUCAAACCCAGCUCUCGAUCUCGAACCCAGCUCUCUCUCGAUAUCUCGAUCUCAAAGCUCAUCUCACUCUCUCGACUCCCUGUGACAGAAUCUGAUAUUACUUGGUCCCAACUUCAUCCAAGUGAACGCAUAUACUGUUCAAAGCGAUAACUCCAGUGAAGAAGAUGACAGCGAUGAAGACAGUGAUGAGGAGGAUCAGCCUCAGUACAGAUUCCGUGUUAGAACCGUCGGUGUGCCGUGUGCGUCCUGUGAAGUGAUAAAAAGGUGUCGAUCGUAAGGGACGUGGAUGGGUUCUUUCAUUCCCUCAUUACCCUGAUAUUGUUGUUGCAAACAAGAGCUGUGAAAAGAGAAAAGCCAUAAGAGACCAGGAGAAUGUUCAUGUCCAGUGAAGUAGUGAUGUGAUGUUAUACAUACUCCCUCCGUUUCACUUUAUUUGUCGUUUUAAGUUUAUGCACACAAAUUAAGGAAACAUUUAAUUUUGCAUAUUUCCAAAAUAAAAACAUUAUUAUCUAUA